AGGAAACGGGUGAUGCAUGCUGGGAUAGCUCAGGCCAGAAGCUAGGGGAGGGUAAUAAUCACAUCUAAUGUGGUGAUAAAUGGGCUAAAACGUUUUUAAUCAAAGUCAAUUCAUCAUCAUUAGUCGGGAUUUACGCCGUUGUGGAAGAAGUCAUGCUGGCGAGGACACGGAAAGGCUUUAUGUAAGUUUCAUUCUCGACUAUUUGGUAGGAAGUGGUCGUGUCGUUAUUCUCUCUGGUCCCGUAAGCAGCUUGUUCUUCCGCCUCCAGCCGUCUGUAGCGGGUUUGGAAGAAGACAAGGAAGCAGCAGGUGAAAACACUGGACAGUCCUGCCAUCACCAUCAUGGGCACUGAAGAGAGGAGAAGCAAACAUCUCAUGAAAAAAUAAAACUAAAAAAGGAUUAAUUAAUUAAAUUAUAUUAAACACUUUCCUACUGUUAUUUUUUAUUCUUUAGAUGGUUUGUUAUUCUUAUUUAAACACUUUAUUCCUGAAAAACGUUGUUCCCCAUUCAUCUCCAUUACAGAAAAGGUUAUUUGUAUUGCAAAUUUUAGCAACAAUGCAGCUCAAAGUGCUUUACAUCCCAAAAAUAUCAUACAGUCACCAAUUGUGAAACAAGCAAUAAACAUUGCAAUUUGUCAAAAUGCAUAAUUAAAAUUAUCGAUUUCAA